rnacentral:tRNA from 1 species
GCGGACGUGGUGGAAUUGGUAUACACGCCAGCUUGAGGGGCUGGUGCCAGCAAUGGCUUGAGAGUUCGAGUCUCUCCGUCCGCACCA